rnacentral:rRNA from 1 species
AGAUUGAACGCUGGCGGCAGGCCUAACACAUGCAAGUCGAGCGGUAGCACAGAGAGCUUGCUCUCGGGUGACGAGCGGCGGACGGGUGAGUAAUGUCUGGGAAACUGCCUGAUGGAGGGGGAUAACUACUGGAAACGGUAGCUAAUACCGCAUAACGUCGCAAGACCAAAGUGGGGGACCUUCGGGCCUCAUGCCAUCAGAUGUGCCCAGAUGGGAUUAGCUAGUAGGUGGGGUAACGGCUCACCUAGGCGACGAUCCCUAGCUGGUCUGAGAGGAUGACCAGCCACACUGGAACUGAGACACGGUCCAGACUCCUACGGGAGGCAGCAGUGGGGAAUAUUGCACAAUGGGCGCAAGCCUGAUGCAGCCAUGCCGCGUGUGUGAAGAAGGCCUUCGGGUUGUAAAGCACUUUCAGCGGGGAGGAAGGCGGUAAGGUUAAUAACCUUGUCGAUUGACGUUACCCGCAGAAGAAGCACCGGCUAACUCCGUGCCAGCAGCCGCGGUAAUACGGAGGGUGCAAGCGUUAAUCGGAAUUACUGGGCGUAAAGCGCACGCAGGCGGUCUGUCAAGUCGGAUGUGAAAUCCCCGGGCUCAACCUGGGAACUGCAUUCGAAACUGGCAGGCUAGAGUCUUGUAGAGGGGGGUAGAAUUCCAGGUGUAGCGGUGAAAUGCGUAGAGAUCUGGAGGAAUACCGGUGGCGAAGGCGGCCCCCUGGACAAAGACUGACGCUCAGGUGCGAAAGCGUGGGGAGCAAACAGGAUUAGAUACCCUGGUAGUCCACGCCGUAAACGAUGUCGAUUUGGAGGUUGUGCCCUUGAGGCGUGGCUUCCGGAGCUAACGCGUUAAAUCGACCGCCUGGGGAGUACGGCCGCAAGGUUAAAACUCAAAUGAAUUGACGGGGGCCCGCACAAGCGGUGGAGCAUGUGGUUUAAUUCGAUGCAACGCGAAGAACCUUACCUGGUCUUGACAUCCACAGAACUUUCCAGAGAUGGAUUGGUGCCUUCGGGAACUGUGAGACAGGUGCUGCAUGGCUGUCGUCAGCUCGUGUUGUGAAAUGUUGGGUUAAGUCCCGCAACGAGCGCAACCCUUAUCCUUUGUUGCCAGCGGUUCGGCCGGGAACUCAAAGGAGACUGCCAGUGAUAAACUGGAGGAAGGUGGGGAUGACGUCAAGUCAUCAUGGCCCUUACGACCAGGGCUACACACGUGCUACAAUGGCAUAUACAAAGAGAAGCGACCUCGCGAGAGCAAGCGGACCUCAUAAAGUAUGUCGUAGUCCGGAUUGGAGUCUGCAACUCGACUCCAUGAAGUCGGAAUCGCUAGUAAUCGUAGAUCAGAAUGCUACGGUGAAUACGUUCCCGGGCCUUGUACACACCGCCCGUCACACCAUGGGAGUGGGUUGCAAAAGAAGUAGGUAGCUUAACCUUCGGGAGGGCGCUACCACUUU